AGAGAUGCCACUGCUGAUAUCAAGAUUUUAAAUUUUGAUCGUAGUCGAGAAAUGUAUAGGGUUAGGUUUCGCAACAAGAUUUAAGAUUUCUAGGAAAGUUGAGUUAUGAUAGCGUAGAAAAGUUGAGUUAUGAUAGCGUAGAAAAGUUGAGUUAUGAUAGCGUAGAAAAGUUGAGUUAUGAUAGCGAUAGCGUAGAAUGAUAGCGUAGAAGGUAUAAAAAGAAUGUUAAAUCAAAGGAUAUAAAUUUUUUUUAUAAAAGUUUAUUUUCCAUUCGAGUUAAUUGGGAAACACAAUUUCAUUUAGUGGUGAUUUGAACGAAAUCAUUUGUUUGGGGACGUAAAAAUAAUAAGGAUUUAGAG
rnacentral:lncRNA from 1 species